UAAUACGGGGGGAGCAAGCGUUGUCCGGAAUCAUUGGGCGUAAAGGGCAUGUAGGUGGUAAUUUAAGUCAGUUUUUAAAUGUCACGGCUUAACCGUGGACUGGAAUUGAAACUGGAUUACUUGAGUAUGAGAGGGGACAGAGGAAUACCUAGUGUAGCGGUGGAAUGCGUAGAUAUUAGGUAGAACACCCGAGGCGAAGGCGUCUGUCUGGCUCAUUACUGACACUGAAAUGCGAAAGCAUGGGUAGCGAACAGGAUUAGAUACCCUGGUAGUCCAUGCCGUAAACGAUGGAUACUAGGUGUCGGGGGACUAGCCCCCUCGGUGCCGUAGCAAACGCGUUAAGUAUCCCGCCUGGGGAGUACGAUCGCAAGGUUG
rnacentral:rRNA from 1 species